rnacentral:sRNA from 1 species
AAUUAUUUUUGUUCGGAAUAAGAUUCAUAGAAGGAAGUACCGUUAUGGUUUCCUCUUGAAGACAUUAUCCUAGAUCAAGAAUAGUAAUAAAAGGAUUUUUUCCAAACAGGAGGCACUAUACAUGGUACAAGGUAAAGUAAAAUGGUUUAACGCAGAAAAAGGUUUCGGUUUCAUCGAAGUUGAAGGUCAAGACGACGUAUUCGUACACUUCUCAGCUAUCCAAGGUGAAGGUUUCAAAACUCUUGAAGAAGGUCAAGAAGUUUCUUUCGAAAUCGAACAAGGUGCUCGCGGACCACAAGCUGCUAACGUUCAAAAAUAAUUUGUAAAUCUAUAAGACAAAGGCUCCUUUUUGGAGCCUUUUUCAUG